rnacentral:siRNA from 1 species
GCCUCUUUUGGGACAAAAUGGGU